GAUGAACGCUGGCGGCGUGCCUCAUACAUGCAAGUCGAACGCAUUGUGGUUGAAAUGAUAUGAAGAACUUGUUCAGAUUUGAUUUUCAACAUUGCAAUGAGUGGCGAACGGGUGAGUAACACGUGGGAAACCUACCUCUUAGCAGGGGAUAACAUUUGGAAACAAAUGCUAAUACCGUAUAAUAAUUAAAACCGCAUGGUUUUAGUUUAAAGAUGGUCUUGCUAUCACUAAGAGAUGGUCCCGCGGUGUAUUAGUUAGUUGGUGAGGUAAUGGCUCACCAAGACAAUGAUACAUAGCCGAGUUGAGAGACUGACCGGCCACAAUGGGAGUGAGACACGGCCCAUACUCCUACGGGAGGCAGCAGUAGGGAAUCUUCCACAAUGGACGAAAGUACUGAUGGAGCAACGCCGCGUGUGUGAUGAAGGGUUUCGGCUCGUAAAACACUGUUGUAAGAGAAGAAUGACAUUGAGAGUAACUGUUCAAUGUGUGACGGUA
rnacentral:rRNA from 1 species